rnacentral:rRNA from 1 species
UACAGAGGGGGCAAGCGUUGUUCGGAAUUACUGGGCGUAAAGGGCGCGUAGGCGGCCUGUUAAGUCGAACGUGAAAUCCCCGGGCUCAACCCGGGAACUGCGUCCGAUACUGGCAGGCUUGAAGCCGGGAGAGGGAUGCGGAAUUCCAGGUGUAGCGGUGAAAUGCGUAGAUAUCUGGAGGAACACCGGUGGCGAAGGCGGCAUCCUGGACCGGCAUUGACGCUGAUGAGCGAAAGCUAGGGGAGCAAACGGG